AAAUAUAGCACAAAUGUAUAUAUAUGUGUGUGUGUGUGUGUGUGUGUGUAUAUACAUACACACACACACACACACACACACAUAUAUAUAUAUAUAUAUA